rnacentral:rRNA from 1 species
AGAGUUUGAUCCUGGCUUAGAACGAACGCUGGCGGCAUGGAUUAGGCAUGCAAGUCGAACGAAGCAGCAAUGCUUAGUGGCGGAAGGGUGAGGAACGCGUGAGCAAUCUGCCCCCAAGUUGGGAAUAACAGUUGGAAACGACUGCUAAUACCGAAUGUGGCUGAGGGACCGCAUGAUCUUUCGGCUAAAGAUUUAUCGCUUGGGGAUGAGCUCGCGUCCCAUUAGCUUGUUGGUGAGGUAACGGCCCACCAAGGCGAUGAUGGGUAGCUGGUCUGAGAGGAUGGUCAGCCACACUGGGACUGAGACACUGCCCAGACUCCUACGGGAGGCUGCAGUCGAGAAUCUUGGGCAAUGCGCGAAAGCGUGACCCAGCAAUGCCGCGUGUGUGAUGAAGGUCUUCGGAUUGUAAAACACUGUCUCCCGGGACGAAAGUUGACGGUACCGGGGAAGGAAGCCACGGCUAACUACGUGCCAGCCGCUGC